UACGAAGGGGGCUAGCGUUGCUCGGAAUCACUGGGCGUAAAGGGUGCGUAGGCGGGUUCUUAAGUCAGAGGUGAAAUCCUGGAGCUCAACUCCAGAACUGCCUUUGAUACUGAGAGUCUUGAGUACGGGAGAGGUGAGUGGAACUGCGAGUGUAGAGGUGAAAUUCGUAGAUAUUCGCAAGAACACCAGUGGCGAAGGCGGCGACCUGGUCCGUGACUGACGCUGAGGCGCGAAAGCGUGGGGAGCGAACAGG
rnacentral:rRNA from 1 species